AGAAAAGCUAAUUAAGGGGGGGGGGGGGGGGGGAUGAGAUGAAGAUCUUAGGUGGUUUGGAACGUGACAUGGAGACAAGGCUCCUCUUGCUUUAUAGUGGAAAUUUGUCAUUCGAAGCUCUGAUACAACACUCAAUCCACAAAGGUUGUACUACAAGUGUGAUCCUUGAAACAAUCUGAGAUGGUGCAAGGGAGUAGUUGAGAAAGAAAACAAGGGGCAACAACACGAAGGAAAAUGCGGGGUAAGCUUAGACGAAGGAGAAAGUAUUGAAAACAGGCGAAACAGUAAGAUGCAAGAAGAAUUGAAGUAAAUGAAGAAGAAGCUAAAACAACAACAAAAAGUAGUCAAAGUUGUAAUACAAAUGGGGAUAUUGAUGUUUGUAAUUUUACUGUUUGUAAUCAUGAAGUAAACACAAGUAAUGAGAAACAAAUUCACAUUUCAUAAAUAAUUGAUGUUGCAUAAUCUGCACAAAAUACCAAA